rnacentral:piRNA from 1 species
UGAAAAAUUCCACAGGACAAAUAUUUC